CUAGAUAACCCAAAUGGUGCAUAGAAAUGAUCGACAGAUAUCAGUACUGCUGCUUAGCAUGAUCCAAGUAAACCAUUCCAUAAAUUUCAGAUUUGCUAUUCUUUCAGGCCAGUCAUAUUUUAAGCUAUUCCAUGUUUCCCUUGAAGUAGCGCAUUCUCGAAAGACGUGAUCCAUAUUCUCCACACCUUGCUGACAUCUCGGGCAGACGGCGUCAUUAGCUAGUCUUUUAAUGCAUAGAUUUGAUAGUGUAGGAAGGUAGUUUAGAGUGGCUCUCCAGGCUCUAAUUUUUAAUUUUGAGGAGGUCACUAUUCCACAUUUUUUUGCAACAUUUCCUGUUUUCAUUUGGGUUGUAUCUAUUAUUAUUGAUGGAAUUGCCUUGAAAGAGUAAUCUGUACCCACUUUGGACUGUAUAUUCGCCUGUUGGUUCGCCUCUCCAAGCCAUAAAGUUGUCCUAUAGGGAGUGAGCAAGCGGGAUUUGGAGUAUUCUCUGAGCAUCUUCUACGGAAAAGAUUUUCAUCCUUCGGAGCCCGGACAUCCUCUUCAAUACUUAUAUUUCGGCCAUUUCCCACCCUCCAACAUAAUCCUGUCCGCAAAAGGCCUUUUGCAGCCCAUAUAAUUUUCCAAGUAUAUGAAGCUAACGUUGUCUCGGGAAAUCUCGGCUAAGCAAGGACAAGACAAAGACAACGGGAGUUAGCUUAAAAAUUACGGUUAGGUUAAAGACAGGUCGUCGAAUUAGUAUCAUAAGCCGAUUCUGAAGCUCAAAAAGGUAAAGCAUGUUAAUUAUUGGUAAUGACAUAUACCUAGGGUGUCUUAAGUGUGUUAUAUUGGAUUGUGAUUGUAAUUGUGAAAUAAGUAAAUUGAUAAUUGAUAAUGAUACAUGAUAAGUGUUUAAAGUUAAGUAUUAAAUAAUAUAUAAAAUACGUUUGGAUUGGUUUAA